rnacentral:rRNA from 1 species
CAGUCGCCACGGGAAUACAGAGGGUGCGAGCGUUAAUCGGAUUUACUGGGCGUAAAGCGUGCGUAGGCGGCUUCUUAAGUCGGAUGUGAAAUCCCUGAGCUUAACUUAGGAAUUGCAUUCGAUACUGGGAAGCUAGAGUAUGGGAGAGGAUGGUAGAAUUCCAGGUGUAGCGGUGAAAUGCGUAGAGAUCUGGAGGAAUACCGAUGGCGAAGGCAGCCAUCUGGCCUAAUACUGACGCUGAGGUACGAAAGCAUGGGGAGCAAACAGGAUUAGAGACCCCGGUAGUCCCUGUCUCUUAUAA